UGCAAGUCGGACGGGAUUGGAGAGCUUGCUUUCCAUGAGAGUGGCGCACGGGUGCGUAACACGUAUGCAACCUACCCUUGUCAGGGGGAUAGCCUCUCGAAAGAGAGAUUAAGCCCGCAUAACAUGUUGAAGUGGCAUCAUUUUAACAUCAAAUAUUUAUAGGACAAGGAUGGGCAUGCGGAACAUUAGCUAGUUGGUAAGGUAACGGCUUACCAAGGCUACGAUGUUUAGGGGAUCUGAGAGGAUGGCCCCCCACACUGGUACUGAGACACGGACCAGACUCCUACGGGAGGCAGCAGUAAGGAAUAUUGGUCAAUGGGCGGAAGCCUGAACCAGCCAUGCCGCGUGCAGGAAGACGGCCCUAUGGGUUGUAAACUGCUUUUGCAGGGGAAUAAAUCUUCGUAUGUAUACGAAGUUGAAUGUACUCUGAGAAUAAGGAUCGGCUAACUCCGUGCCAGCAGCCGCGGUAAUACGGAGGAUCCGAGCGUUAUCCGGAUUUAUUGGGUUUAAAGGGUGCGUAGGCGGCCUAUUAAGUCAGGGGUGAAAGACGGUAGCUUAACUAUCGCAGUGCCCUUGAUACUGAUGGGCUUGAAUGUAGUUGAGGUAGGCGGAAUGUGACAAGUAGCGGUGAAAUGCAUAGAUAUGUCACAGAACACCGAUUGCGAAGGCAGCUUACUAAAGUAUGAUUGACGCUGAGGCACGAAAGCGUGGGGAUCAAACAGGAUUAGAUACCCUGGUAGUCCACGCCCUAAACGAUGAACACUCGAUGUUGGCGAUAUACAGUCAGCGUCAAAGCGAAAGCGUUAAGUGUUCCACCUGGGGAGUACGCCCGCAAGGGUGAAACUCAAAGGAAUUGACGGGGGCCCGCACAAGCGGAGGAGCAUGUGGUUUAAUUCGAUGAUACGCGAGGAACCUUACCCGGGCUUGAAAGUUAGUGAAUGAUUC
rnacentral:rRNA from 1 species